rnacentral:lncRNA from 1 species
UCACCACCAGAUACAACAUCAUAUGGUCUAUGUGUAUUAGAAAGAUGUGGUGGACUAGGAGUAGAGUGGGGAGAUUGGAUAUUUGUAGGUAUUUGAGAGGUGGGAGCAUGAAUUGUAGACAUUUGUGGACUUGGAGUAGAGAGGAAAGGUGGGAAAUUUGUAAAUGUUUGAGAUAUGGGAUGAUGUUUCGGUUGCCUUGUAGGUUGUGGAAGUUGGAUAUUUGAAGGUGUGUUAGAUGUAAGAUGAUGUGUAGGUUUCCUUGUAGAGUGGGGUUGUUGGGUAUUUGUAGGUAUUUGAGAAGUGGGAGCAUGGACAGUAGACAUUUGUGGACUUGAAGUAGAGAGGAAAGGUGGGAAGUUUGUAUGUGUUUGAGAUAUGGGAUGAUGUGUAGGCUGCUUUGUAGAUAGGGAUUGUUGGAUAUUUGAAGGUGUUUUAGAUGUAAGAUGAUGUGUAGGUUUCCUUGUAGAGUGGGGUUGUUGGGUAUUUGUAGGUAUUUGAGAAGUGGGAGCAUGGACAGUAGACAUUUGUGGACUUGAAGUAGAGAGGAAAGGUGGGAAGUUUGUAUGUGUUUGAGAUAUGGGAUGAUGUGUAGGCUGCUUUGUAGAUAGGGAUUGUUGGAUAUUUGAAGGUGUUUUAGAUGUAAGAUGAUGUGUAGGUUUCAUUGUAGAGUGGGGUUGUUGGGUAUUUGUAGGUAUUUGAGAAGUGGGAGCAUGGACAGUAGACAUUUGUGGACUUGAAGUAGAGAGGAAAGGUGGGAAGUUAGUAUGUGUUUGAGAUAUGGGAUGAUGUGUAGGUUGCUUUGUAGAUAGGGAUUGUUGGGUGUCUGCAGGCCUAGGUGCUUGUAAUCUAGAAGAAUGUGACAAAGUAGUUUUAUGCUUACCUCCCUUAUUUCCCUUAACUUUGUUGAUGCUUAUACCAGCACCUCUUCCACUGCCCCUUGUAAUAUCAUUGUCUUCCAUCUAUCUAUAUACAUAUAAAACUAGGUAAUUAACUACUGUACAUAAAAAAAAAAGUUAAAAGGCGCACAAAAUUAGACAUGGGCAUAAACAAGUUAAAAGGCACACAAAAUUAAAACAUAAGCACAAUUAGCAUUUUCCAUUAAUAUGCAUAAGAAUCACACAUAAGGAUUUGUUGAAAAAAUUUAACAUAACAAAAAGAAAAUCAAAAUUAUCUAUCCAAAAUCUGUUCUCCCUAAUUUACAAAAAAAAAAAAAAAAUUAACCAUGAAGCAAACAACACAAAAAGGGGAUUCAACUGUAAAAGACAGACCAAAAAAUCUUCACUAACUAAAACAUAUAAAUCUAUAAAACAACCCAAAUCAAAACCUUAACAUAUAGGCAUUCAAAUUGUGCAUACCCAAUUCAGUUAGCAUAGUUUACAACAUAAAAACAAGAGAAGGAGAAAAAAGAGUUUGGAAC